GGAGCUCUGUGCCUCGGAUCCCUGCAGCCGGGAUGGUUUGCACCGAGUCACAGCUGGCUCCUGUAUGGGCAGUGAGAAACGGUUUUCCCCAGCCCUGAUAACGUUACUGUGCAAUGGGAGCCACCCAAGGUAUGGCCAAUGGCGACGGUCUCAUCUCACUGCAGGACUGAGUUUUGAAGAGUGACAUAGAAACGACACUCCCGUUCCCAGUUUUGAUGGAGCUGGUGGGCAGAACGAGUCUUUCUCCCUUGAGAGCAGUAUAGCCUGAGCCCUAAGGGGCAGAGACCGCUUGGAGGUACAAUGGACUGACGUUCGUGUGGCUCGUGCCCUCUCUGUUGAGGAUGCAAACAGAGUGCUGGCAUGCAGACUUCAAAAGACAGAUGUUGUCCUGCUAACGCUUCAGCUGUCCGUGUCAGUGAGGCGCAGGAGUGACACUGCGACCCUCAGUGACAGAGGGCUUCAUCCGACACCCCAUUGCACUCCAUGGCUUUUGUACGUACUGCUUUCCCCUGGGACACGCUGUGUUUUUACAGCCAGCUGAAUGGCAGCUGAUAUAAUCAGGAGCACUUCGAGCAACAAUUCCUCAGGGCUGUAACUCACAUGGGCUGCCGUGUUUGUUCUUCCCAGGGAGAGAAGCCCUUAACAAAGGCAUGGACCAUUCCGUAUGUAUUGCUCAAUAGGAUAACUUCUGCUCUCAGUUUACAAGCCUGAAAACAAAGUAUACAUGAUACCAUCAAACUGCUUCAUUCCAAAGCCUGCUGCUCCUUCAAACGUCAAGGCUGUAACCUUCAGACACUACACUGAGCUCUGAACCUUUGCAUUCCUGGGGAUGCUGUUUAGACCUUGCUGUGCUUUAGGGCAGUGGGUGAGCUCAUACCGCGGUCCUGAGAGAAGCCCAGCAGAGGAGGAAUGAUGCCAUGUGGUGUUCUGCAUGCUGCUGAAAGCUGCAUUCCCUUCGUAGCCUGUUUCUGAACCUUAAAUGUGCUCAGCUCGUGUUUGCAAGUGCCUCAUGCUUGAAGUCUCAGGGACUGGCCUUCUUUAAUUAAAUGAAGACAUACUCUUAACCACCUGAUUGCAGGUGUGAGAUCUUUAAGAAAAAUGGCAGAGAUUUGCAAAUAAACCAGGAGAGUCAGAAAGGGAAAGCAACCAAGGAUCUCAGUGCCUGUGAGCUGGUGAUGAAGCACCACCAGAGACCUUCCCCUUGCUCCUGCUUUGACCCCCUUCUCAGCGAGCUGCUCAACCUCUCAGGAGUAAAUCUGCCAACCUUACUCUUCCUGCAGGACAAGUGGCCAUUUCAGCACGGGCCAACAACAAUGAGCUGUGCUUUCAGGGUCAGAAAAAUGUGAUGCUCCUCAUAAAACAUGCUGAGUCCCAUCCCAGCUGCCUUCUGUCCGGGUGGAAUGCAAGAGGAGCCGUCCCAGAAGCAUCAGGCCGUGGCAUUGGGAUCCAUCUUCACCAAGCCUUGAAGACAUCGGGGGUGGGGAUGGAGCUGAUGUCCGAGAGGAGCUUCACGUUGGAGGAAAGAGGCAACAAACGGUGCAGAAGAUCACCUGCCCCAACCAGGGAGGUGUAAGGCCCCAUCCCUGGCAAUCCCACCUGUGCUUGGCUGUGGUGUGGUGGUGUUUUAUGACGUAUGCAACCCAAAAGUCGGAUAACACAGAAGAUAUUGGGCAAGUAC
rnacentral:lncRNA from 1 species